AAAGGUCGAAGGGAGAAAUUCAAGUGACGCACCCGCAAACGAACGCGUGCACUUUUCUCCCGGUAGGACGUCGCGAUCCGUUGGGUGUCGGUCUAGCCCGUUCGUCGAGCGGACCCCGGCCGACCCGCUCGACGGUAGGGCCGCUCAGCGUUCGGCUCGCGGCAAGCGCUUCGGAUGUCGAUCGGACCUAGKGCCGGUUUCGACCUCCGAUGACUGUUGGCCGUCGAACAGACCCUAUCUGCGACGCUAUAGCUUUGGGUACUUUCAGG
rnacentral:rRNA from 1 species